AUUGAACGCUGGCGGCAGGCCUAACACAUGCAAGUCGAACGAGUGGCGGACGGGUGAGUAAUGUCUGGGAAACUGCCUGAUGGAGGGGGAUAACUACUGGAAACGGUAGCUAAUACCGCAUACCAUCGGAUUGGCCCAGAUGGGAUUAGCUUGUAGGGGGGGUAACGGCUCACCAAGGCGACGCUCCCUAGCUGGUCUGAGAGGCUGACCGGCCACACUGGAACGAAGACACGGUCCAGACUCCUACGGGAGGCAGCAGUGGGGAAUAUGGCACAAUGGGCGCAAGCCUGAUGCAGCCAUGCCGCGUGUAUGAAGAAGGCCUUCGGGUUGUAAAGUACUUUCAGCGGGGAGGCGUUACCCGCAGAAGAAGCACCGGCUAACUCCGUGCCAGCAGCCGCGGUAAUUC
rnacentral:rRNA from 1 species